GAUCCUGGCUCAGAUUGAACGCUGGCGUCAGGCCUAACACAUGCAAGUCGAACGGUAACAGGAAGCAGCUUGCUGCUUCGCUGACGAGUGGCGGACGGGUGAGUAAUGUCUGGGAAACUGCCCGAUGGAGGGGGAUAACUACUGGAAACGGUAGCUAAUACCGCAUAACGUCGCAAGACCAAAGAGGGGGACCUUAGGGCCUCUUGCCAUCGGAUGUGCCCAGAUGGGAUUAGCUAGUAGGUGGGG
rnacentral:rRNA from 1 species